UUAAAAAGCUCGUAGUUGGAUUUCGGAAGGUCCUUAGCGGUCCGCCCCUUCGGGGAGCGGGUCGCUGGCCUCCUAUGUUCCCAACGGUCCUCAUCCGCGAGGGUGGGGAAUCAACCGCUGGGAUCGUUUACUUUGAGGAAAUUAGAGUGUUCAAAGCAGGCGUAACUCGCCUCCGAAUACGUUAGCAUGGGAUAAUGGAAUACGACUUCGGUCUUGUUUCGUUGGUUUCGCUUGGCUGAAGUAAUGAUUGAUAGGGACAGUUGGGGGCAUUAGUAUUUAGUUGUCAGAGGUGAAAUUCUAGGAUUUACUAAAGACUGACCAAUGCGAAAGCAUUUGCCAAGGAUGUUUUCAUUAAUCAAGAACGAAAGUAGGGGGAUCGAAGACGAUCAGAUACCGUCGUAGUCUCUACCGUAAACUAUGCCGACCAGGGAUCCGGAGAGUUUGCAUGGAUGACUCCCCGGGCACCUUGUGAGAAAUCAUAAGUGUUUGGGUUUUGGGGGGAGUAUGGUCGCAAGGCUGAAACUUAAAGGAAUUGACGGAAGGGCACCA
rnacentral:rRNA from 1 species